GACGUAGGGUCCGAGCGUUGUCCGGAACCACUGGGCGUAAAGGGUGCGUAGGUGGCGAAGAAAGUCGGAUGUGAAAUCUCCGAGCUCAACUCGGAAAUGGCAUUGGAAACUACUUUGCUCGAGGGUCGGAGGGGGGACUGGAAUUCUCGGUGUAGCAGUGAAAUGCGUAGAUAUCGAGAGGAACACCAGUGGCGAAGGCGAGUCCCUGGACGACUCCUGACACUGAGGCACGAAAGCUAGGGGAGCAAACAGG
rnacentral:rRNA from 1 species